rnacentral:rRNA from 1 species
UUAAAGUAGUAAGGGCGCAGGGUGGAUGCCUUGGCACUAAGAGCCGAUGAAAGACGUGAUAAGCUGCGAAAAGCUUCGGGGAGGAGCAAAUAUCCCGUGAUCCGGAGAUGUCUGAAUGGGGAAACCCGCAUGAGCAGACCUCAUGCAUCCAUACGCCAAUCCAUAACGUAUGGAAGGGAACCCGGGGAACUGAAACAUCUAAGUACCCGGAGGAAAAGAAAGAAAACUCGAUUCCGUAAGUAGCGGCGAGCGAACGCGGAGGAGCCUAAACCGGAAUGCGUGCAUUCCGGGGUUACGGACUGCAUUUAAGAUUCUUUGAAGCUAACAGAACGGUUUUGGGAAAGCCGGCCGGAGAGGGUGAAAGCCCCGUACGUGAAAGCUGAUGAGACUGAGCAGGAUCCAGAGUACCACGAGACACGUGGAACCUUGUGGGAAAUCAGGGGGACCACCCCCUAAGGCUAAAUACUACUUAGUGACCGAUAGCGCAUAGUACUGUGAAGGAAAGGUGAAAAGGACCCCGGGAGGGGAGUGAAAGAGAACCUGAAACCCUGUGUCUACAAGCUGUGGGACCUCUUUAUAUGAGGGACUGCGUACUUUUUGUAGAACGGUCCGGCGAGUUGUGCGUACUGGCGAGGUUAAGGACUUAAGGUCUGGAGCCGAAGUGAAAGCAAGCGUUAAUAGCGCGUCAAGUCAGUGAGUGCAGACCCGAAACCGGGUGACCUAUCCAUGUCCAGGUUGAAGCUUCCGUAAGAGGAAGUGGAGGACCGAACCCACAUCCGUUGAAAAGGGUGGGGAUGAGGUGUGGAUAGCGGAGAAAUUCCAAUCGAACCCGGAGAUAGCUGGUUCUCCUCGAAAUAGCUUUAGGGCUAGCCUCAUGAGAGUCUUAUGGAGGUAGAGCACUGAAUUGCCUAGGGGGCGUCAAAGCUUACCAAAGCAUAUCAAACUCCGAAUGCCAUCAAGAUGAUUCAUGGGAGUCAGACCAUACGAGAUAAGUUGGAUGGUCAAAAGGGAAAGAGCCCAGACCUACAGCUAAGGUCCCAAAGUGCGUGUUAAGUGGAAAAGGAUGUGGGAUUUCGAAGACAACUAGGAUGUUGGCUCAGAAGCAGCCAUACAUUCAAAGAGUGCGUAAUAGCUCACUAGUCGAGAGGUCCUGCGCCGAAAAUGUCCGGGGCUGAAACACGACACCGAAGCUUAGGAAUGUGUAAACAUUGGUAGAGGAGCAUUGCUAGCGGGAUGAAGCCAUACCGUAAGGAGUGGUGGACUGCCAGGAAGAGAGAAUGCCGGAAUGAGUAGCGAGAUGAAGGUGAGAAUCCUUCAGGCCGAAUAUCUAAGGUUUCCAGAGUAAAGCUGAUCUGCUCUGGGUAAGUCGGGACCUAAGGCGAGGUCGAAAGACGUAGUCGAUGGAUAACAGGUUGAAAUUCCUGUACCGCAUAUAAACAGAACUGUGGGGACACAGACAGGGAAUGGAAUCCGGGAAUGGAUAUCCCGGUGCAAGCGAGGUAGGAGUGCUGUUGGCAAAUCCGCAGCACGAUCUGAAGACGUGACGCGUACCGAACAUAAGUAGGGAAGUCCAGGCCCCUGGCUGUCAAGAAAAGCCGCUAUCGUUUUAUAUGUGCCCGUACCGUAAACCGACACAGGUGGAUGAGGAGAGAAUCCUAAGGCCGACGGGAGAAGCAUUGUUAAGGAACUCGGCAAAAUGACUCCGUAACUUCGGGAGAAGGAGUGCCAUGAGAGUGGCCGCAGAGAAAUGGCCCAAGCAACUGUUUAGCAAAAACACAGGUCUAUGCAAAACCGCAAGGUGAAGUAUAUGGGCUGACGCCUGCCCGGUGCUGGAAGGUUAAGGGGAGAGGUUAGCGCAAGCGAAGCUUUGAACUUAAGCCCCAGUAAACGGCGGCCGUAACUAUAACGGUCCUAAGGUAGCGAAAUUCCUUGUCGGGUAAGUUCCGACCCGCACGAAAGGCGUAAUGAUUUGGGCACUGUCUCAACGAUACACCCGGUGAAAUUGAAAUACCAGUGAAGAUGCUGGUUACCUGCGCCAGGACGGAAAGACCCCAUGGAGCUUUACUCCAGUUUG